rnacentral:lncRNA from 1 species
CUUGUACUUUUCUUCAACAGGAAACUGGCAUAGGCAAAACAGUUAACAGUUUGAGGAAACAUGCCACUGCUGGAAAUGUAGCUAAGUCCCUGGUAAAGAAAUGGAAAAAGCUCAUUCCUCCAGAAAACAAAAGUGGUCACAAAGAAAGAAAACAGAAUAUUGAAAAAGAUAAGACAAGAUCUUCAGUUUCCAAGGAAGGAAAGCCUUCAGAGAAGUCCAAAACAUCUGUACCAGCCUCCCAAAGUUCCAGUAGCUUGUCCACAUCUAGAAAGUUGAACAAGCAGCGUAACUGUAUUGAAAAAAAGCACCAAAAUAGAGACUCUGAGUCUCAAAAAGACCGUGAUAACAGAACGGGUCAUGGCAGUGGUUCUAAGCAUACUUCCCAGGAGACAAGUUCUCAAGCUAAAGAAAGUGAUUGUAAAAAGAGAGCCUCCAAGGACAACAAGAGAGCUCCAGAAAAGCGCCGUUCCUGUACAGCUGGUGAAGACUCCUUCCCAAAGAAGGAGAAGCCUAAGGAUGCUUCCAAACAGAGAGAUCCUAAGAUGGUGACAAAAUUGAAAGAAAAACUUGCUGUGAGAAGCAAAGCUGAAUUAUCUGGCGAUGAAGAAUUUGAGCCCCCUACUAUGUCUUUUGAAUCUUACCUGAAUUACGAUCAGGUUACAAAAAAGAGAAAGAGGAAAGCUUGUUCUACAAGUGAACGUCCAGGGAAGUGCAAUGAACAGAAGAGCAGCUCAUUACCACAAAAGACUUCAACGUUUUCUCAUGCAAAUGAAGGGGGAGAAAAAGUACAGAACUCUGAAGAUGAUCAGUCAGGAAUUCCCAGCAAAAAGGCCAAGGUGGCAUCCCUCCAAGAUCUUCUUAAUACUCCACUGCCUAAAUUUCUGCCAGGCAUCUUAACCUCCUC